AGCGAACGCUGGCGGCAGGCCUAACACAUGCAAGUCGAACGAAGCCUUCGGGCUUAGUGGCGGACGGGUGAGUAACACGUGGGAACGUACCUUUUGGUUCGGAACAACUCAGGGAAACUUGAGCUAAUACCGGAUGAGCCCUUAGGGGGAAAGAUCUAUCGCCGAAAGAGCGGCCCGCGUUAGAUUAGCUAGUUGGUGAGGUAAAGGCUCACCAAGGCAACGAUCUAUAGCUGGUCUGAGAGGAUGAUCAGCCACACUGGGACUGAGACACGGCCCAGACUCCUACGGGAGGCAGCAGUGGGGAAUCUUGCGCAAUGGGCGAAAGCCUGACGCAGCCAUGCCGCGUGAAUGAUGAGGGUCUUAGGAUUGUAAAAUUCUUUUACCAGGGACGAUAAUGACGGUACCUGGAGAAAAAGCCCCGGCUAACUUCGUGCCAGCCGCCGCCGUAA
rnacentral:rRNA from 1 species